GACGAACGCUGGCGGCGUGCUUAACACAUGCAAGUCGAGCGGAAAGGCCCUUCGGGGUACUCGAGCGGCGAACGGGUGCGUAACACGUGAGUAACCUGCCCCAGACUUUGGGAUAACCCUCGGAAACGGGGGCUAAUACCGGAUACGACACAGCUUCGCAUGGGGUCUGUGUGGAAAGGUUUUCGGUUUGGGAUGGGCUCGCGGCCUAUCGGCUUGUUGGUGGGGUGGUGGCCUACCAAGGCGACGACGGGUAGCCGGCCUGAGAGGGCGACCGGCCACACUGGGACUGAGACACGGCCCAGACUCCUACGGGAGGCAGCAGUGGGAAAUAUUGCACAAUGGGCGGAAGCCGGAUGCAGCGACGCCGCGGGAGGGAUGACGGCCUUCGGGUUGUAAACCUCUUUCAGCAGGGACGAAGCGUAAGUGACGGUACCUGCAGAAGAAGCGCCGGCCAACUACGUG
rnacentral:rRNA from 1 species